GCCUAGCCGUAACACACUAUAAACGUUCGCCAACCACUACGAGUGAUAACUUAAAACUUAAAAGACUUGACGGUACUUCAUCCAGCCUAGAGGAGCCUGUCUAAUAACCGACAACCCACGAUUAACCCGACCCUUUCUUCCAACAGUCUAUAUACCGCCGUCGUCAGCCUACCUUGUAAAAGCAAUAAAGUAGGCUCAAUAGCACCACACUAAAACGACAGGUCGAGGUGUAACCCAUGAAAAGGACUAAGAUGGACUACAUUCUCAAGCCGAGAACACGGAUAAUACUAUGAAAAUAGCAUUUGAAGGCGGAUUUAGUAGUAAGAUAAGAAUAAAAUACCUAACUGAACAUUAACGCAAUGAGAUCGGG
rnacentral:rRNA from 1 species